rnacentral:rRNA from 1 species
GACUCUCGGCAACGGAUAUCUCGGCUCUCGCAUCGAUGAAGAACGUAGCAAAAUGCGAUACUUGGUGUGAAUUGCAGAAUCCCGUGAACCAUCGAGUCUUUGAAUGCAAGUUGCGCCCGAAGCCAUCCGGCCUAGGGCACGCCUGCCUGGGCGUCACGCAUAG